rnacentral:rRNA from 1 species
AACGAACGCUAGCGGCAUGCCUAACACAUGCAAGUCGAACGAGACCUUCGGGUCUAGUGGCGCACGGGUGCGUAACGCGUGGGAACCUUCCCUUAGGUUCGGAAUAACUCCCCGAAAGGGGUGCUAAUACCGGAUAAUGUCUUCGGACCAAGGAUUUAUCGCCUUUGGUUGGGCCCGCGUUGGAUUAGCUUGUUGGUAGGGUAAAAGCCUACCAAGGCGACGAUCCAUAGCUGGUCUGAGAGGAUGAUCAGCCACACUGGGACUGAGACACGGCCCAGACUCCUACGGGAAGGAGCAGUGGGGGAUAGUGGAAAAUGGGCGAAAGCAUGAUGCAGCAAGGCCGCGUGAGUGAUGAAGGCCGUAGGGUUGUAAAGCUCUUUUACCCGGGAUGAUAAUGACAGUACCGGGAGAAUAAGCUCCGGCUAACUCCGUG